rnacentral:rRNA from 1 species
UACGUAGGGUGCAGGCGUUAAUCGGAAUUACUGGGCGUAAAGCGUGCGCAGGCGGUUUGCUAAGACAGGUGUGAAAUCCCCGGGCUUAACCUGGGAACUGCGCUUGUAACUGGCAAGCUUGAGUGUGGCAGAGGGGGGUGGAAUUCCACGUGUAGCAGUGAAAUGCGUAGAGAUGUGGAGGAAUACCGGUGGCGAAGGCGGCAUCCUGGACCGGCAUUGACGCUGAGGAGCGAAAGCUAGGGGAGCAAACGGG